rnacentral:tRNA from 1 species
GAGGGUGUAGCUCAGUGGUAGAGCACCUGCUUAGCAUGCAUGAGGUUCUGGGUUCAAUCCCCAGUACCUCCA